rnacentral:rRNA from 1 species
AUACGGAGGAUCCGAGCGUUAUCCGGAUUUAUUGGGUUUAAAGGGUGCGCAGGCGGCCAUUUAAGUCAGCGGUUAAAUCGUGGGGCUCAACCCCAUUCUGCCGUUGAUACUGGGUGGCUUGAUUGCGGUCGAGGUUGGCGGAAUUCGUUGUGUAGCGGUGAAAUGCGUAGACAUGACGCAGAACACCGAUUGCGUACGCAGCUCACCCGACCGCGAAGGUCGUACAUGCAACGAAGAGCGGGGAUCGAACAGGAUUAGAUACCGUGAUAGACCGCACAAUAAACGAUAAAUACUUGUUUUCGGAGAUAUAAUGUCGGAGGCAAAGCGAAAGCGAUAAAUAUUAGUCCUCGGGAUUACGCCAGCAACGGGGAAAUUAAAAGGAAUGAACGGGG